UGGUGAUGAGGCUGGCAAGAACGACUGCGGAGCUUGGGGGUUGUCUCUUUCGUCCAAAUGGCCCCCGCGGAGACCCGUACCUACAGUCUCUCUUCCAACCGGAUCCCGUUAUCAAGCCGAAUCACACACCGGAAUGUCCCUGAGGUGGUAAACUAGAGAGGCGAAGACUUUUUCUUUUUCCCCAAAAUGGCCUUUCUGCUUCAACGUGGGGAGAGAAGCUGCCAAUCCAGAAGGCGGAGGUAGCGCCUGGGAAGGGCGCUUCCCACUCCCGGAGCGCCGGGUUACACAACAGAGACAGAACCCCAGGAGAAGGAGAAAACAUGCCUGGGAAGUGCUAUCAGACACAAACCCUUGAGGGCUGCAGCUCUGACCCUUCCCCUCAAUAUACCACAGGGAUUUUCCUGCCGGCCCCAACCCGACGUCUCCACAUCCAGAGCCGACUGUGAGGAGGCCAUGGAUAUAUGUUUCUAUAUGAGAAAACUGAGGCACAGCUCAGGAACCCAACCAUAUAGUUAGUGUGCGUGGGGUCCUCUGCAUGCCUCCUUACCAUCACUGGUAAUCCAAGGCAUUGAAAAACCUUCGCUGGUCCACGAGAGCAAGGCCAUCUGCCAGGAAGCCCUGACACUUUUGUUCCAUAACCAUCUGCCCACCUGUUGUGUGAUGGUUUCAUCUACGACUGAAACAUUCCAUUCUGCUGGGAAGCUCCUUAAGCAGGAAAGUAAACAACUUUAAAGCAGUUUUAGGAAGUCCCAGAAACUGACCAGCUUCGCCAGACCUCACCGUGCCAGAGUCAACAGCAAGAGCUGAGAGUUCCCUCAGAUGGAAGGAAGCUGAGCUGCAAAGAAGACUCGGACCAGCCCAGCCAGAAGCACACAGCAACUGCCUAGAAGAGGUUUAGACCAGAGACAGUUGGAAAGGAUGCUCCCAACAUUUUGAGCUACUUGAAGGCUGUGCAGUGUGCUCCAAGUUCCCAGCCUUGUGAGCAGUCAAUCCUGAUGGGCUGGGCCUUGGUGAUGCAGCUGUCUUUCGGUCAUUUCUGCUCCUGCUGCUCAGUGCAAUCGCACACACAUAAUCUGAUGCUGACAUGAGAGACCAACACACGUGACUCAUUCUAAUGGAGGGAAAGUGAGAGAGAGUGGGACAGGAAGCAACAGUCAGUGAAAGCUGUAAAGGGUCUGUUGGUUUGAGCAGGCCCACGCUCAUUCGGAGCUGAUGUCAUGGAGCUGAAGCCCUGAUGGAAGUCUCCCUGCAUCCCAAAGCCACAGACAGCAUGCUGUAAGACAAUGCUCACAUGCCAUAAGGCACUCUUGUCACAUUAUCUGAAUAAAGGUACAUUAUUCUUGU